GACGAACGCUGGCGGCGUGCUUAACACAUGCAAGUCGAACGGAAAGGCCCUGCUUUUGUGGGGUGCUCGAGUGGCGAACGGGUGAGUAACACGUGAGUAACCUGCCCUUGACUUUGGGAUAACUUCAGGAAACUGGGGCUAAUACCGGAUAGGAGCUCCUGCUGCAUGGUGGGGGUUGGAAAGUUUCGGCGGUUGGGGAUGGACUCGCGGCUUAUCAGCUUGUUGGUGGGGUAGUGGCUUACCAAGGCUUUGACGGGUAGCCGGCCUGAGAGGGUGACCGGGCACAUUGGGACUGCGAUACGGACCAGACUCCUACGGGAGGCAGCGGUGGGGAAUAUUGCACAGUGGGCGGAAGCCUGAUGCGGCAACGCCGCGUGCGGGAUGACGGCCUUCGGGUUGUAAACCGCUUUCGCAUGUGACGAAGCGUGAGUGACGGUAAUGGGUAAAGAAGCACCGGCUAACUACGUG
rnacentral:rRNA from 1 species